GCCAGCAUAGUACAGUGGUUUGAGCAUUUGGCUAUAACUCUGGAGAUCAGGGUUUGAUUCCCUGCUCAAGCA